rnacentral:rRNA from 1 species
GUCAGCAGCCGCGGUAACACCGGCAGCUCUAGUGGUAACAAUUUUAUUGGGCCUAAAGCGUCCGUAGCCGGUUUAAUAAGUCUCUGGUGAAAUCCUGUAGCUUAACGUGUGGGAAUUGCUGGAGAUACUAUUAGACUUGAGACCGGGAGAGGUUAGAGGUACUCCCAGGGUAGAGGUGAAAUUCUGUAAUCCUGGGAGGACCGCCUGUUGCGAAGGCGUCUAACUGGAACGGUUCUGACGGUGAGGGACGAAAGUUAGGGGCGCGAACCGGAUUAGAUACCCGGGUAGUCCUAACUGUAAACGAUGCGGACUUGGUGUUGGGGUGGCUUUGAGCUGUCUCAGUGCCGAAGGGAAGCUGUUAAGUCCGCCGCCUGGGAAGUACGGUCGCAAGACUGAACUUAAGGAAUUGGCGGGGGAGCACCACAACGCGUGGAGCCUGCGGUUUAAUUGGAUUCAACGCCGGACAUCUCACCAGAGGCGACAGCUGUAUGAUAGCCAGGUUGAUGACUUUGCUUGACUAGCUGAGGGGAGGUGCAUGG